rnacentral:rRNA from 1 species
AUUGAACGCUGGCGGUAGGCCUAACACAUGCAAGUCGAACGGUAACAGGAAGCAGCUUGCUGCUUUGCUGACGAGUGGCGGACGGGUGAGUAAUGUCUGGGAAACUGCCCGAUGGAGGGGGAUAACUACUGGAAACGGUAGCUAAUACCGCAUAACGUCGCAAGACCAAAGAGGGGGACCUUAGGGCCUCUUGCCAUCGGAUGUGCCCAGAUGGGAUUAGCUAGUAGGUGGGGUAACGGCUCACCUAGGCGACGAUCCCUAGCUGGUCUGAGAGGAUGACCAGCCACACUGGAACUGAGACACGGUCCAGACUCCUACGGGAGGCAGCAGUGGGGAAUAUUGCACAAUGGGCGCAAGCCUGAUGCAGCCAUGCCGCGUGUAUGAAGAAGGCCUUCGGGUUGUAAAGUACUUUCAGCGGGGAGGAAGGGAGUAAAGUUAAUACCUUUGCUCAUUGACGUUACCCGCAGAAGAAGCACCGGCUAACUCCGUG